rnacentral:rRNA from 1 species
GUCAGGAUGGCCCGCGGCCUUUCAGCUUGUUGGUGGGGUAAUGGCCUACCAAGGGGACGACGGGUAGCCGACCUGAGAGGGUGACCGCCACACUUGGGACUGAGCACGGCCCCAGAUCCUUACGGGAGCAGCAGUGGGGAAUAUUGCACAAUGGGCGGAAGCCUGAUGCAGCGACGCCGCGUGAGGGAUGAAGGCCUUCGGGGUUGUAAACUUUUCAGCAGGGACGAAGCGUGAGUGACGGUACCUGCAGAAGAAGCACCGGCUAAUACGUGCCAGCAGCCGCGGUAAUACGUAGGGUGCGAGCGUUGUCCGGAAUUACUGGGCGUAAAGAGUUCGUAGGCGGUUUGUCGCGUCGUUUGUGAAAACCCGGGGCUCAACUUCGGGCUUGCAGGCGAUACGGGCAGACUUGAGUGUUUCAGGGGAGACUGGAAUUCCUGGUGUAGCGGUGAAAUGCGCAGAUAUCAGGAGGAACACCGGUGGCGAAGGCGGGUCUCUGGGAAACAACUGACGCUGAGGAACGAAAGCGUGGGUAGCAAACAGGAUUAGAUACCCUGGUAGUCCACGCCGUAAACGGUGGGCGCUAGGGGUGGGUUCCUUCCACGGGAUCUGUGCCGUAGCUAACGCAUUAAGCGCCCCGCCUGGGGGAGUACGGCCGCAAGGCUAAAACUCAAAGGAAUUUGACGGGGGGCCCGCACAAGCGGCGGAGCAUGGGGAUUAAUUCGAUGCAACGCGAAGAACCUUAACCUGGGGUUUGACAUACACUCGGAAAACCGUAAGAGAUACGGUCCCCCCUUGUGGGUCGGUGGUACAGGGUGGGGCAUGGGCUGUCGUCAGCUCGUGUCGUGAAAUGUUUGGGGUUAAGUCCCCGCAACCAGCGCAACCCU